rnacentral:piRNA from 1 species
UCAACACAUCGUUUUCNGCCCUGCCUUCUGUG